rnacentral:lncRNA from 1 species
UCUUCCACGCAUCUGAAUUAUCGCUUCUCACCCACUCAUUCAAACUUUUCCAAAAAGCUCAUUCAUCUACUUCAUCCCUUGCAUCGAUAUGUAAUAUUCUCCGACCACUUUUCUUCCAUCAAACCUCAACGUUCAUCGAUCAUAAUCUCCUAACCAUGUCCGGUGACCACUUCGUCCAACCCGUCUCCUCCUUUAACCAAACCUUCACUGCAACCAUCCUCAUCGUUCAACCCUCAGUUAUGAUAUUGUCCACUAACACCAUACCAGAAAAACAACACGAUAAACCCAUUGAAAGAACCAUUGCUGUCGAUAACUCCAUUGACUCCACCCUGCUGGCCCACCCCUCCGCUACUACUAAAGGCACCCCAUUUUUCGUGAUGAGCGAAUAUGAAAUCGUAUAGAUGAAGAUUCGGGAAUAAUACCAAUCGAAAAAAACCUACUCCCUAUAUGGUGUUUAGGGAUUUUUGCAGGCGAACAAAUUUGUUCCUUAUAUUGUGUUUA